UGGGGAUUUUUCGCAAUGGGGCAACCCUGACGAAGCAAUGCCGCGUGGAUGAAGAAGGCCUUCGGGUUGUAAAGUCCUUUCGUGGAGGACGAAAAGGUGGUUCUAAUACAAUCCGCUAUUGACGUGAAUCCAAGAAGAAGCACCGGCUAACUCCGUGCCAGCAGCCGCGGUAAUACGGGGGUGCAAGCGUUAAUCGGAACCACUGGGCGUAAAGGAUGCGUAGGCGGUACGAUAGGUCUGUCGUGAAAUCCCCGGGCUCAACCCGGGAAUGGCGGUAGAAACCGGCGCACUAGAGUAUGGGGAGAGGGUGGUGGAAUUCCAGGUGUAGCGGUGAAAUGCGUAGAUAUCUGGAGGAACAUCAGUGGCGAAGGCGCCACCUGGCCCAAUACUGACGCUGAGGCACGAAAGCGUGGGGAGCAAACA
rnacentral:rRNA from 1 species